rnacentral:miRNA from 1 species
UUAAGACUAUAGUCAUGACUAUUAAGACUAUAGUCAUGACUGUAAUCUUAAUAGUCAUGACUAUAGUCUUAAUAGUCAUGACCAUAG